GUCAAUCUCUUCCUUUGUUCGGUUGAAAGUCCGUUCACACCAGGCAAACCAACUAAUGCUCCACGCAGUGUCGUCAGCUCAACUAGUUCCAUAACCUCUUCAAUGAACAUCUAAAAACCAUCAUAUCAGCUUCUAAGAGCUUCUUACCAACAUGCCCUUUACCUUAAGUUGGGGAGCCUUCCAAUACAUUGGGUGACAGAGUCAAUUUUGGAAUUGCGGCGGAACUCAUUUACAGCUAUUGCAUUCUGUGCGUACAUUAAGGGUGAAGACCAAUAACCCCAUUUCCACCACUUCUUGAUAUCCUCUUCAGAGAUUGAAACAAAAAAAAAAGGUCAUGUAUAUUACAUUUUUGCCAUAACUUUUCUUAAGGGCCUAGGGGUGUAAUACGGGUCGGGCGGUCUGUGGGCUGAUCUGGCCCAGCAUUGCUGCGGGCUGUGUUGGGCCAUAUCUAGUCGGCCCACAGCUAAGCCAGACACAGUCUGCAGCAAGGUGCAAGCAAUGCUGGGCCAAGGCUUACUGGCAUAUGGCCUGGGACAGCUUGGCCCAUAUUCAGAUGCCAGCAGUGCCGGGCUACAGUUCCGAAUGCGGCCUGGUGCGGCUCAGUCCAUUUAGGACUAAGCCCAAGGGCCAGCACGACCUCUUUUACUAGGCCCAAGGGCCGGCACGACCUUUUUAUCUAAUUUUUUUAUUUUUAAAAUUUGUUCUUUCAAAUAUUAAUUUAAAAUAAUCAUAUUUUAUUUUAUUUUUUUUUAAAAUUCAGCUAAAAAUUAUUUAUUCAAUUAAAAACUAUAUAUUUUUUAUAAAAUUAGUGGUAAAAACUUUAAAAAAUAAAAUUUAAAUAAACAAAUAGUGUAAAGGGCCGGCCCGUGUCCCAGCAUGGCCCGACCUAGUGUGGGUUGUGGCUGUGCUGGGCCAUGGUCCAAUGAAAGAUAACCUGUCCCAGCCAGACAUAGAUUCAAAUUUGGGCUAGGCCGUGCCACCUUGUGGCACGAUUUGGCUCGAAAAAAUCUAGGUUGUGCCGGCCUGUCAUGGCCCAAAUUACACCCCUAGAAGGGCCUAAUGUAAAAAAUAUUGAAGUUGAAGCUUCAUUGAUAGGAAGUGCAUGUGUUCAGAAAAUGUCAUACUUCUUGAUAUGACGAAACCACCAAGCACUACGAGCACCAUUUCAGCAAAAGAGCCAAAGGUGUUUGCCACAACCAUAUCUCUACCACAUGCUGCUAGGAGCCUGAAUAGACCCGAAGCCAUUUGGCUAACCAGUGAAAAUAGAAAGAACUGUCUAAACAUCCUGUGGGCAAAAGAUCUUUUUGGUUACUUUGAUAUUUUUGGUUAAUAUGACUGGAGAUUAAAAUACCAAUAUUUACCUUUUGGCACUUGGGUCAAAGCCAAUAACAUAGUACGUCAUGACAACAUAGAGACCGCAUUCCACAAAUGAUAUUGGGAUCUUCAGUAUCCACGUUGGCAGUGCAUAAGCCCAUGCUGGGAAGAAAAGGAGAUCUCUUUGUUUGUAGAAGACUGGAAGCUUCUUAGUGCUCAAUGGCAGUUCUGACAUCCCAUUAAACGUAUGCGUAAUGAGUCCGAUAAACAAAGCACCCAUGUAUAUUAGCCCAUCACUUACUGAACGAUGGUGCAUCUUGGUUCGGAAGAAUACAGUCAUUGCAAUGAAGGCAAUUACUGUGAGCUGAAAGAAGCAGACAACAAGCAGAAGUCAUAACUUGUGAAACUUUCUGGGGAUGCAAUGUAUUUAGUUAGGCCCUGUAGUAUCCUGAUAUUGUGACUCAGUCCCUGAACUUUCUCAUAUAUAUCAGUUUCAUCUUUGGCCACUAAGAAGAAAAAUCUAACAUGUGAUGUUUUCCUAUAAACUGAUCAUUUUGACCUUGUUCCAAGUUAAAGGCUUGUUUUAGAAGAAGGGGUAUAUAGGGAAUUAACUGGAGAAAGUUUGGGGACUAGAUGUUUGAGUGAAAAGUUGAGGGACUAAGCCACAGUAUCAGGUUAGUACCGAGUCUGGACAUUUUAUGUAAUGCUAAGAACUUGAUCAUUGCCUAAGUCUAAUGAAUAGUACCUGGAAUAGUUUGAAGAUGUAGACGAAAGAGUUUCUCUUCAUCAACAAAUACUCCCUAGCAAAGCAAGCUUUCAACAAUUCCUUCUUUGCUAUGCCAUACUUAGAAGUUGUCAAAGCAGCAGGGUGGUUCUUGCUCUUGUCAAAAGGGGUGGAGAGUUCCUCUCCCAACCUACGUCCCACGUGGAAUGACUGAAAUGCAUCUGAGAAUUCUUUGACAGGAACAAAGCGGAAGUCAGCAACGCCUUUCCUCUCAGGGCAUCUAAAGCCCAUGGAUUCAAAAAACUCAAGAACAUGUGUGCGGGGGCCUUGAUAUACAAUCUGCCCUUCUGAGAGUAGAAUUAUGUCAUCGAAAAGCUCAUAAGUCUCAGGUGCUGGCUGAAGCAAAGCUAUCAAUGCGGUCCCACCUAGGAUGUGGUUUGACUGUCUUAAUGAGUUGACUAUCUGAUCAUGCUGGCUUAUAUAUGCUGAGGUUCUUUGCGGAAUAAACUCAUUCAUCAAAUGUCCAUUGUUUUGAUUCUUAUCGUGUGGUGUGAUGUGGUAAUAAGCUCGUCCACGACCUGAAAAAUGUGGCUGUGCAUGAAAAAUGUGGCUAUGCAUGUGUCCUAUCAAGGUGGUUAUAUCAUCUUCUUAAACAUAAUAGCAGACGACUCUAUUAAUAGCAGACGACUCCAUGUAACAAGUUUCCUACCAGGCUUAAUUUUUCACCGGCAAUUACUUAUCAAAGUGGUUACAGCAGACUCCCUCUAAUGCAAUAAGGGGUAUUAUGUCGACUUUCUGGAAAGCCCUAACUGAAAGAAUCACCGGCAAGGCGACGCCAGAUAUGGGCAAGAUCACCAUGAAGGAUGACGCAGAGCUCCGCCGUAUGCACAAAAAAUGGAUGGUGAAGAUUGGGCGUAGAUAUGCAAAUGCUGAGGAGGAGGAGCGGCGUUUUCCAGAUCUUCAAGCAGACAGUGGAGAGGUGUGAAAGGCACAACGCAAAGAAGAAAGGUCACAUUGCAGGGUUGACCUGCUUCGCCGAUCUCACAUCCGAGGAGUUUACUGCCAGGUUCCACCCAAUUGAGUAUCCCCCCUGGGUUUAUGAGAAGAUGCGGGAGGAAAGGGAGAGGAAAGCCUUGCGAUAUGCCAGGGAGGAAAGGGAGAGGGAAGCCUUGCGAUAUGCCGGGCCGCCCGAAGAUUUGACUUGUUUCGGCUGCGGCGGCCCUUACUAGAACAUCAAGGCACAAAUAGUCCAUGCGGCGGUGUUGGUCUUGCUAGCGACUUGAUAGGUUAGGCACCUAGAAGAGCAUGAAAAUUUUAUGCUGUAACAGUUGUAGCGUCUGCUAAUUUUAGUGGUGUGAUGAAACUCGUUGUUGAGCAAUCUUAGUGGUGUGGUGAAAUUCUCUAUUGAGUAAUCUGUCUACUACUAACCUUUUGCUAAGUAAUUUUGGUGGUGGUGUAGUGAAACUCUCUGUGGAGUAAUCUAUCUACUAUUAACCUUUGGUUAUUCUCUAAA